CAACCUCAGGCAGAAAUGGUUUAAUACUGUUAUCAUGGAAAUGGGUUUGUUAUAAAAGGGUGUGUCUGGCCCCCUUUUAUCUCUCUCUCUUUUGCCCUUCCACCUUGGGAUGGCACAGCAAGAAGCCCCUCUCCGGAUGCCGGCCCCUCUUGGACUUCCCAGCUUCCAGAAUUGUGAGCCAGUCAAUUUCUGUUCAUUAUAAAUUACCCAGUCUCAGGUAUUCUGUUAUAGCAGCACAAAACAGACUAAGACAGUGGGUUAUCCUAAAUCCAUACUAUGCCAGCGAGAACCAAGGGGUGUAGCAUGUUUCCUGAGCAGUGUUUCAGAUCCCCAGCAGAAGGUAAAUGCUGUAAAUUACUGUGCAUUUGCCACAGUGUAGUAGACUGAAUAGUGGCCACCAAAGAUAUCCAGGUCCUAAUCCCUAACACCUGUGAAUACUAAUGUAAUGUGUCAAAACAGGCUUUGUAGAUGUGAUUAAGUCAAGGAAUUUUCGAUGGAGAGAGUAUCCUAGAUUAACUUGGUGGGACCUAAAUGCAAUCACAAAUGACCUUAUAAGAGAGAGGCAGAGGGAGACUUGACACCAUAUAAAGAAAUGGGACAUUAAGGCAAGAGGCUGAGGUAUUGGCUUUGAAGAUGGAGGAAGGGGCCACAAGCCAAGGAAUGCAAAGAGUACAUCUCUAGAAGCUCAAAAGAUAAGAAAAAGGAUUCUCCCCAAAAGCCUCCAGAAGGAGUGCAACCCUACCGAUGCCAUGAUCUUGGGCUAAUGUAACUGAUUUUACAUUCUGACCCCCAGAACUAUUGGAGAAUAAAAGUGUGUUAUUUGAAGCCACUAAGUUUGUGGUAAUUUGUCACAGCAGGUAAAGUAAACUAAUAUACACAGCAAACAAUGAGAAUAUUUUUAAAAUCUGAAUUAAAAGUCUGGGAUUUUGGUGUGUGUGCAACCACUACCAGUUUUCUAGAUACUCUUCUAGAGACAAGGUAUUGUGAAACAGACAAUAUAAGUGAGAAUGGAAGAGAGUAACACAGACCCAAAGGGCAUGCUUCAAAAGCCACAGGGGAGGCCAGAUCCCAGCUGACACACCACUUUAGAAUAAGAGUGUUUCCUCAAAAUAACUGAAGGAACACCGAGAAGGGCUAUAGAUGUGUUCAGCUUUAUUCCCACAGUUGACAUUUAUAAUGUAUCAGUCCCUCCCUGUUAAUAGCUUGACUGACAGACAAUCAAAGGAUGUGUGGGACUCAUAAAUAGUCCGAAGCACACCCAAGAGGGAGCAUUUGUAAUGCAGCCUUCAGAGACUAGGUAGAAAGGAAAGGAAGGGAGCAAAGGAAAACUCAGGGAGGAAUUUAAGGGACAAGUGUUCCUGACCAAAAUGUCAGAGCCUGGACUAAGCUCUUGAUCACAAAGAAAUGGUGAGAAGCCCCGUAGCUGAAAUUACUGUGAGAGCCCGUUGGAGUCAGAGGAAGUAUUUGUGGUGGGAUUACAGGGAAACUUUUCUACUUCUUGUCUCCACAUAAGCCCCAGGUUAGUCCCAAAGGACUGUGGAUGCUGUUGAGGCUUAGUGAACACCCAGUAAUGGGAGAAGAAGAGACUCGCUUUCAGUACCAUAUUCCCUUGGGUACAGAGAAAAAGCUCAGGCCGUUUUGAAAACAGCUGCUGCACUUUUCCCAAAUGACCUUUCUUUGUUCCCUUCAGCUCCAAGCCCUUGGACUCAUUCUCCAUUUUUCUCUUUAUGCAGGUGUAUGUUUAAGCUCAGGCUGGAAAAGGAUCACUGAAAGUCACUUGGAUGGUGUCUCGUGUGUCUGUGAUGAGCUUGCUGUUGCUUUCUUUCUCCUUGACAGAUGAGAAAACAGUGGCUUCAAAGGUUAAACAACUUGUCUUCGAUUGCACAGCUAACAAGAGCUCACUGUCCAAAGGGAGUCUCUCUCCCCGGUCCACAUGCUGAGGCUUGCUCCAGAGUGAAUGUGUGCACUGGAAAGAACCCACACAGGCCCCCUGAGAGCUGUCAGCCUUGCCAGGCUUCUGUGAGAUCCCUGGGUCCGAGUAGCCAAGCUGGGAGGAGCACCAUUUGCCCACUGACUCUUGGGCAACGCUGCAGCCUGCAUCCCAGCCGGCAGAAGGCAGGUGGUAUCACAGCUGAGUUUACAGCCACGGAAGGAACCACUGUAGGCUUUUAGUAGAUAAUAUGUUUUCUCUGCUUCAAAUCCUUAUUUUGGUUGCUUAAAAUUUCUGCAGAAAACAAACAGCUUCUGCCAAAAUUGGCUCACAAAAUUAGCUUACUAGUAUAAUCAGUUGUAUAGCAAGUAUUUACUGAGUAGCUCUUGGAAGGCAGUCAACACAAGAGGGAUGGAUCAUUCUUCCAGUUCAUCACACGUGGGUUGGACAUGCUAACAGUCCCCGAUAGCUAUCAGGCGAGUAAAUGGAUGAUCACACAAAGGCAGAGGCAUCGCAGAAGGAUGCUAACUAGAUGUCAUGCGUCAAGGAUACUACAGAAGGAUCUCUUUGCUGACAAGGAGGGUACCUCUAAGGUUCCUUCAGAUGGGAUGGUUCUCUGUUCACCGUGAUCACUACUAUGCAAAGGCCUGUGGGCCAUUUAGGAGAAAAGCAUUCAGUCCAAUUCCACAGACACAGUGAGGAUGUAAUAUGCCCUAGGCAUAUAUGAGUGGAUCCAAGGAGGAAAUACUCAGUCACUACUGUCAAGAACUCAUGACCUGCUGCAGGGUUUGCCAAACUAUGGCUUGUGGGCCAAUCUGGCUCACCACCUAUUUUAGUAAAUAAUGUUUUACUGGAAUCCAGACACGCUUGUUUGAUUACAUAUUGUCUAUGGCUGCUGAGCACCCACUAUAAGGGCAAAGUUAAGUAGAUAGAGACUUUAUCACCCACAAAACCUAAAAUAUUUGACUGGAUGGCCCUCUACAGAAAAAGCCUGCGAACCUGUGGUCUUGUGGGAGGACACUGCUGGGCACAGUUAACUCUAAUUCUUGGCUGUAGCAUCUUGAAUAGGGUGGCAGUCCCUGGCUGCUGAGGGGGACAGCUGGACGGCUGCCUCCCAGGGGCAUUUCCAUGACUUGCAGGCCCAGAAACUAGACUUGGGCAUGACCACAGAGUUCUUGAUGGACUGAAGAUGCCCAAACCACAGACUGACUUGUAGGCUAGAAAUGAACAUGUGGGGUGGAAUAGUCCUUUUGGGGACUAGAAUAAUUUCUAGAGAGCCACCCUUUCUACAUGAUACGGCGCACAUUCAAGUGUGGCUACUUACACUGAGACUUUCUGAUGAGCACGACUAGACAGCAGGGGGCCCCCAGGAUAGUUUGUUCAGGUCAAGGUAAGAUGAGAGGAGAAACUAGCCCUGUCCCUUGCUGGACACCACCACUCCAGUGCCUGAAAUCCAACCUCCCCACCCCCAUCAGCAUUCCUCCCCUGGAAAAGAUUGGAAAAUGCAAGAAUGUGCUUCUUUGACUCUGGCCUUCCUCUAACAGCCCUGCUUCUGUUAACACAGCCUUUUUGCAGCUUCCUUGACGUCAUUGGCUACAGGCUACAGCUGUUGCUAGUCAAAGGCAUUGUUCCUUUGAGCUAGCAGGCACUUUGUUCUCUCCCAUGACACAUUGUUUUAUGAGCUCACUCUAGAGGAGAAACAUUCUAUCCCUGUGCUCAAGUUCUUCAGGAGCACCUCACUGUCUCCCUCUGCCCACCCACCUGCACCUGACAGCUGUGGGCUGUGCUCUCAGGGAGGCACCGUCAGAUGCUACCAGACUACAGAGGAGAGCACCCUCAAUCCUGACUGAAGGUUUGGGAAAAGGCUGCUCAGAAGAGGUGAUACUUGAUAUGGGCCCUGGAGGAGGAGAAGCAGUUUGAGAAGACAGCAGUGAGAGAUGGCAUCCGGGCAGGCGAGAAAUGUCAGUGGUCAUGGAGGCAGCAUGAAGGGACUGUUGGCUGCAGAAACCUGGCAAGGCUCUUAGAGACAGAGACGAAGAGGGAGAUGGGGCUGGAGAUGGAGAUGAUAGAGACAGAAAGAUUGAAGAUGGCAGAGUGGGGGCUAUGGGGAAGGGUGAUGAAGCAGGAAAGAUAGAUCGAACGAGACUGCGAGGAGCCUGUGUGCCUGGGCUUUAUUUUGGAGGCAAUGAGAAACAGAAAGUGUUUUUGAGCAUGAUGGGACAAUGAGGAGUUCUGUGGUUUAGGAAACCCAGCAGUCACGGGAAGUGCAGAUUCAAAGUAAGAAAACGUCCCAGGGUUUGGUGAUGAUCUUGGUGGGAAGUGACACAGGGGUAGUGGGGAUGGAAUUGAAAGAAAGGAUGAACUUCCAGAGUAUGGCUGUGCUCAGUAGACAGGAAUCAGGGAGGGCAGGAGGAGAGUAAAAGGGUCCUCUGAGCUUAAAUCCAGAUGUUGAGGAGAUGGUGGUACUAUCAAUGGAGGUGGAGCUCUUAAGAGGAAGAAAGAUGGGAAAGAAAAGGAUGAGGUUUUUGACAAGUUGAAUAUGGGGUGAGCAUGGGUCCAACUGAAAGCAGUGGAAAUAUAGACGUGAAAAAUAGAUGCGGUAGAGUUGAAAAGUUGGGGAUAAUUUUCACCUGAAUGUUACCUAAGGCAAAGGGAAGAGAGGUCAUCCAGGACAAAAGUACAGAAUGAAAAGAAAAAGCAACUAAGCACGAAAUCUUGGAGAAUGUCCUCAUUGAAGGGUGAGCAGAUGAAGAGGAGCCCACAAAAGAGACUGAGGAAUUGUCUUCAUUCACUCAUUCAUGCAUGUAUUCAUUUGGUCAACAAAUAUUUUUUGGCACCUCCCAUGGACAGGUCCUGAGCACCAAGGGUACAGUCAGAAAUGAUGAAUCCAGAAAUGAUGCCCUCCAGAACUUCUGGUGAGGAAGGCACUCAGGAAAAUGCAGCACCCUAUGGAGGCCCAGAAAGGAGGGCAUUCAGGAAGAACACAGUCUGAUGGUGUCAAGUGCAGCGGAGGCUAAGAGGUAGGGAGGAAAAGAUGGUAAAAGGAGAGAACUGGGGAGGCAAGAGGGACAAAUGAGGGAGAAGAGAAGGGAGAGGAAAUACAACAGAGGCACAGAGUGGGGAUUUGUCUGAUUCAAGAAUCCUAGGCGGGGCGCGGUGGCUCACACCUGUGAUCCCAGCACUUUGGGAGGCCAAGGUGGGUGGAUCGCCUGAGGUUGGGAGUUUGAGACCAGCCUGGCCAACAUGGUGAAACCCUGUCUCUACUAAAAUACAAAAUUAGCUGGGCAUGGUGGGGCGGGUGCCCAUAGACCCAGCUACUUGGGAGGCCAAGGCAGGAGAAUCGCUUGAACCCAGGAGGCAGAGGUUGCAGUGAGCCAAGAUUGCUUCAUGGCACUCCAGCCUGGGUGACAGAGUGAGACUCCAUCUAAAAAAUGAAAGAAAAAAGAAUCCUAUGUUCUUUCCCCUGGCCUUACCUUAGAAAGCAGAGUGAAUGCCGACCUAAUCAGGUUUACCUCCAUUGCCAUAGCAACCUCUGGGACUCACUUUGGUGCACAUUCUUGAGACCUGAAGUGAAGAAGUUAACUUUAUAUCAAGUUACCUACCAAUUAGGCUAGCGAUUUCUCUGUCUUUUAAAACAUUCUUUUAAAGUCUUGUCAUGUUUCAUCUUUCUAGAAUUCAUUUUUCACAUCUUCAUUCACUGGGAUUCUGGACCAUAAUAUAUGUAAACACACAAAAUACUAAAGAUUGAAAAUACAAUUAUUCUGUUUUCUGAUUAUUAAAGUGGUCAUUGUUAAAAAAAAAAGACUUGGAAAAUACAAUAUAAAGUAGAAAAUACAAAUCACUCAUUUCCCCACCACUCUUAGUAUUCUGUUGUUUUUCUUCCCAAUCCUGUUUCUAGACACAUUUGAUGACAUUUAAACAUAUUUUUAUUGUGAAUAUACAGUUUCAUAUAUGGUUUUGUUUGCUAACUAAUUAUAUCAUGGACAUUUCCCCAUGCCACUAAAAUAACUAUAAAAUCAUUUCAUUAUUCAUAAGCUUCACAUUUUAGCCCUUCCUCUAUUUUAAUGCAGCAAUUGUCCACCUUUAUACAUAAAUAUUUGUUCCUGAAUCUUAAAAGUAGUCAAAUUCGUUCACACUUCAAAAUUAUUUUUGUAUUUACUUUUUCUUAGAAUCUUUGUGUUUAAUGUCUCAUUCAUUUCAAAGAGCAAUAUUAAUACAAUUGAAAGUGAUCACAGCAUCUUUUGUCUCCAAAUGCAAGUUAUUUUGUAAUGUGAUCUAAUUUUAUUUUGUAAACUCCAUUAUUAAGAAAUUUGACCCAAAUUUGAGAAAUGAUAGUUACUCUUGACUCAUACCAUUCAGCCCUAGGUUUCCAUCAAUGCUUGUUUGAAUUCCAUGGGUAUAGCACUGGUGGAACUGCUUUUUCAGAUUUUUAGAUUUGUCAGAGAAUAUUAAUCCUUAACCUAAGUUUUUUUUCCCUGAUUUCUCUCUUUACAUUUAUUUGUUUUCUUAGUUUCAUUAUGAUAUAUGAAACUAACAUAUCCUUUGUAUGAGGAUUCAGUGGUUACAUCUGAAAGCAAACAGGAAGUUAUUAUUUUGCUUGUUAGAAAAAUUCACUUCCCUUAAUGUAGCUUUUCCCAUUAUUUUACUCUCAAACAUUUGGUGUACUUCUGUUUUACAUGUGUUUCUUGUAAGAAGAAUAUGGUUGGAUUUUUAAAAAU
rnacentral:lncRNA from 1 species